GCCCAUGGGAUAGCUCAGUUGGUAGAGCAUGAGACUCUUAACCUUAGGGUUGUGGGUUCAAACCCCACACUGCAGGAUUUUGGACU